UUCACGACUUUGACCCGUGUAUUUUCGCACCGGGCAAUGGAAUACUUAACACGGCUUAACUCCGACAAUGGCACUAGAAGGGAUGGAGGGGGUAGAGAAUGACGAAAGUUGAUUGAAAGUGAAACGUAAUUAGUUUGCUGGCACCAUAGAGCUAGCGAGUCCUGUCAAAUGAAAGACUUCCGCGCGCAAACCUGAAGGAAAAAAUGGCGUGUGAAAGCGAAGAACAUAGUGGACCGUAGUGGACUGACUGAAACGCGUGGUUAAUAAUGGUUAGACUUGUUAGAUGUAUACACUGAUUGCAGUAUUAUUCUCCAUCUACCUGGAAAACACAUUACUGCAAAACACCACGAGGACUAAAGGAACACUGCAGAGAAUAGUUACUGAAUGACAAAUUAUCAACAGCAGUGACUUCGAGGAGUACGUUUUCUUGGGCCCACAAGGCAUCUCGUUUGGAAAAAUUCCAGAGUUUCUCAGGAACAUUUGCUUUGUCAUCAUGGUCGAAGAGUAAGCAAAGUAAGAAACCUGUAGAAGCAGGCAGAGAAUUACACAACCUGAAAACCCAGAAGACAGUACUAUUCUAGGUCAUCUGUUUUGAGCAACGCGAAAUAAGAGAGGUGAUGCACCAGAAAUCUUUUGCUCUGUCCUGCUUUGGCCAGUGAAGGAUGUCAGUUCACUUGGAAACAGUAUGAGUUAACAGUGAAGGAAAUGCUAUUUUUCUUAUGAAUGUGCUUGUCUAAACAAUUAGGGACUGUCCAGGUGUAACGAGUAUUAAACAGUACCAACUUGGAGGAGCACUAAUGCUGCGGUAGGUGGUUGGACAGCCAGGUAAUAUAAGAUUUCAUUAGAAACUUGUGAAUACAUACAGGGGAUAAGCACGUGCGAAAUAAUCAUUUACCAAACAUGGGCAAUUUGGAAGCAUAGCCAGACGUACAUUUACAUUGUGAUGAGCAGAAUUUCAGAACUGUGUCUGUCUCACACGAACUUUUGCAUCAUUCAUUGUUACACCCCCUCGCCACGGUGAGGCACAGGACAUUGAGGGGGGGAUAUGAAAUCCUGUCUUAUGUUCAGGAUUUCAUACCCGAAAUGAAGAACAUGAGGUGAACCUCUUCGCAGUGCUGCUGCUGCCCUAAUAAGCAUCCACUGAGUGCACUCUUCACUUAGGACUGUGUUGAGACAGAGUCACAGUGUGUGCUUACAGGAGCAAUAACAGUAUGGUUCAGAGCACCGGUCCAAAACUCUUCAUUUCACCUAUCUGGAUCCCAUGACCCCCUUCUUUUCUUUCUGCCUUCCUCCCUCCCUCAUCCCAUCUAUCUCAUAGAACAGCGUGACAAUCAAGACCUGAAGGCCUUAGUUUGAAUAGAGUCAAAACCUACACACUUUCUCAAUUUUCUCACAUAAAAUUUGGGACCAUACACUGUUUCUAUUGCUGUGCCCCUUCCGACCCCCGCCACCCAUCAUAACCAGGUUGCGCUUGCUCAAUUACACCACUUAAAUUACCUUCAUGGUAGUGCAAACCAUCCUACAACCACAAAUUUUAAUUUCUAUUUUGAGUGAUGUGAGCUCAGAUUCUGCGUUCCCCUGUAAUGUGUUACUAAUUAUCUUCUUUCCAAUUGCCGAGUUUUAUGCUAGUCCUCAUUUCUAUUUGGACAAAAUUCACUAAACUGGACCACUUUAAGACCUGACAACCCCAAUGCCUUGCAUAAUUUAUACAAUCACGUACAAAAACACCAAUUGAGACAUGGGCCUAUACCCAUUAGAUACGUUUUCAUAUUUGCAAACAUCCAGAAAACUGCAAGAGCAGACACUGACCAAAAAUAUCUCUAGUAAGAGCAGUGAGUUUGCUUAUGGGAACCAUAGUCUUAUGAAUAACACGAAAAUUAUAAACAUGCAGAUCACUUCAUGUUAGUGUUUGCCGGCCAUGCUUGUAAAAUAGAAGAAGAGUUUCAGUUAAUUUGUUAGUCAGUUAGACAGUGAUUCAGUCAGAUUGCUGGUUGAUAUAGAACAUGCUAUGUGAUAAAUGAUCUGCAUGUUUGUACGUGUGUGCUGUCAUGAUGACUUAACUUUCUUAGAGAACAUUCAUGAUUAUACAAGAACAAUAAUAAUCUUGGCAUAUCUUUCACAACAUAUCAGCAGUGUAACUUGGCUCUUGUAGUUGGUGGAAUACUGAAUUUUACCAUAUAGGAGGUUGAAUAUUAAUAUUAUCAAGUAGCUAAGAUACAAUUUUUAGCUCCCAUACUCGAACACCAGGGAAGUCUGAAGUUUUGCUUAUUUUGUCUUUACAUGUUUAGAUGGCAGAUAGGCAGUGAAAAGAUUCAGAACAAAAUGGUAGCAAGCUUUUCCCAAACACCCUCUUCGCCCAUUCCUGAU